rnacentral:lncRNA from 1 species
AUGUAGACGAAAUGCGCGUCUGGCGUAUUAAUUUAUAAUCCUGGUACCUUUGAUAACUAAUUAAUCCACCAUUUUCUACAUUUGAAAAAAACCUUUACAAAUUCAGGAAUAUGACAGUUGUCCGUUCGUUUGAUGUUUUAUCAUUUGAUUUUGCAACUUGAUUAGGGACUUUCCGCUUUGAAUUUUCCUCGGAAUUCAAGAUUUUUGUGAUUUACUUUUUAGUAAUAGGUUGAGAUCAUUGUUUAAACUUAUUAUACGCAAUAGGUUGAGAUCGUUGUUUUAUAUGCUACUCACUGAAAUACAGACUGGUUGAUGAAUUGGGACAUGUACAUACGAAUGUUGUGGGGUUCAACUUGUUACAUGUAGCGGACGCACAAACCUCCCCUAACACAGUUGUGUAACAGUUCAAAAUGAGAACAAAUUUUAACGAUCAGUUGAAAAAGGCUUAAUUCACUUGAUGGAUACAAAUAGAAAUACAUCCAACAAAAAUAAUUACAUUGGAUGGCUGCAUGUUUUAUUGUAAUACUUUAUUUGAUUGGCUAACAUCAAUCUCGAGUCAUUCUGAAAUUAACAUUCAUUUCGAAAUGAAUUGUAACAUUGAUGAUGACACACAUUUCCACAAUAAAGUGCACAGGUAAAUAAAUGAAAAACUUAAUUGUAAUCGUGUUUUCGUGAUCAUAGCGAAAAAAAAAGGUAAAUACAAGUAUUGAAUGCUUCUUUUAGUAAUUUCAUAAGGUUGUAAAAGCGUUGAUUGUGCGUACAUUUUAAGACUGAAGCGCGUUAGAGCUUCAUACAAAAUGUACUUCGGUCAACGCUUGUACACCCAAUGAAUUGACAUAAAGAAGCAUUCAAUACUUGAAUACAGAUCAGACAUGAAAGCUACUGUGUGACGCUUAUUCCGAACACACCGAGUCUUCACUGCGGAAAUUGAUAUCAUUUACGAAGUAGGAACAACGGCUUGUAGUCUCUUAGUAUAUAUGUCAUGUACUUACCGUCUUUAUGGCAGUACAUAUUAUAUAGCUAAAAAUGUAUAACGCCAUUUUAUAUAUUUGGUAACCAAAUUGAAUUAGUAUUGUUUUAAUGCAUUAGAAUCUGAAUUUAAAAAAAAUAACACCUAAUAAAUGUUUUGUACUCGC